rnacentral:rRNA from 1 species
CUGGCGGCGUGCCUAACACAUGCAAGUCGAACGGGGAUUUGUUUCGGCAGAAUCCUAGUGGCGAACGGGUGAGUAACGCGUAGGCAACCUGCCCUCCGGCCGGGGACAACACUCCGAAAGGGGUGCUAAUACCGGAUACGAAGUCUGUGCCGCAUGGUACGGAUUUGAAAGAUGGCCUCUAUUUAUAAGCUAUCGCCGGGGGAUGGGCCUGCGUCCGAUUAGCUGGUUGGUGGGGUAACGGCCUACCAAGGCGACGAUCGGUAGCCGGUCUGAGAGGAUGAACGGCCACAUUGGGACUGAGACACGGCCCAGACUCCUACGGGAGGCAGCAGUGGGGAAUCUUCCGCAAUGGGCGCAAGCCUGACGGAGCAACGCCGCCGUGAGUGAGGAAGUUCUUCGGAAACGUAAAGCUCUGUUGUUCCUGACGAACCUCCCUUCUAUCAACAACGGAGGGGACUGACGGUAGGGAACGAGGAAGCCACGGCUAACUACGUGCCAGCAGCCGC